rnacentral:lncRNA from 1 species
UUUUGAUGUGGAAUGCUACUUGGCAUAAUUUCAAUGUAAUUCUCUUAAUUGUGGUAUGAAUAUUCAGAUCCGAAAUGUUCAAGACAAAAGUUUAAUAUGGACAUAUAAAUAAUAAUACUUCAAGCAUACUAACUAAGCAAUUAUGUCUCUUCAAAAUAACAUGGCCAAAGAAAGUUAUCCCUACAAAAUCAUGUAGUCUGGCUAUGCUCCAUGUUCACCACACAAAGUAUUUAAAUCAUGCACAACCCCGAUGACAAGCCAAGCAAUUGUUUCAUACUUUUGGUGUUCUCAAACUUUUUCAAUCUUCACGCAAUACAUGAGCGUGAGCCAUGGACAUAGCACUAUAUGUGGAAUAGAAUGGUGGUUGUGGAGAAGACAAAAAGGGAGAAGAUAGUCUCACAUCAACUAGGCGUAUCAACGGGCUAUGGAGAUGCCCAUUAAUAGAUAUCAAUGUGAGUGAGUAGGGAUUGCCAUGCAACGGACAUACUAGAGCUAUAAGUAUAUGAAAGCUCAACAAAAACAACUAAGUGGGUGUGCAUCCAACUUGCUUGCUCACGAAAACCUAGGGCAUUUUGAGGAAGCCCACCGUUGGAAUAUACAAGCCAAGUUCUAUAAUGAAAAAUUCCCACUAGUGUAUGAAAGUGAUAGCAUAGGAGACUCUCUAUCAUGAAGAUCAUGGUGCUACUUUGAAGCACAAGUGUGGAAAAAAGGAUAGUAGUAUUGCCCCUUUUUAUUUAUUUAUUUAUUCUUUUUUGGGCCUUUUUUGGCCUUUUUUGGGACAAUACUCUAUGAAUGAUGAUCAUCACACUUGUAUUACUUUACAACUCAAUGAUUACAACAAGAUACUAGAACAAAGUAUGACUCUAUAUGAAUGCCUCCGACGGUAUACCAGGAUAGCAAUGAUGCAUGAGUGACUUAUAUGAAAGAAUUAUGAACGGUGGCUUUGCCACAACUAAAAUGUCAACUACAUGAUCAUGGACAAUGAUGGAGCGUGUCAUAGUAAACGAAACGGUGGAAAGUUGCAUGGCAAUAUAUCUCGGAAUGGCUAUGGAAAUGCCAUGAUAGGUAGGUAUGGUGGCUGUUUUUAGGAAGGUAUAUGGUGGGUAUAUGAUACCGGCAAAUGGUGCGCAGUAUUAGAGAGGCUAGCAAUGGUGGAAGGGUGAGAGUGCGUAUAAUCCAUGGACUCAACAUUAGUCAUAAAGAACACACAUACUUAUUGCAAAAAUCUAUUAGUUAUCGAAGCAAAGUACUACACGCAUGCUCCUAGGGGGAUAGAUUGGUAGGAAAAGAACAUCGCUCGUCCUCGACCGCCACUCAUAAGGAGGACAAUCAAUAAAUAAAUCAUGCUUCGUGAUACGUCUCCAACGUAUCUAUAAUUUUUGAUUGCUCCAUGCUAUAUUAUCUAUUGUUUUGGACAUUAUUGGGCUUUAUUAUCCACUUUUAUAUUAUUUUUGGGACUAACCUAUUAACCGGAGGCCCAGCCCAGAAUUGCUGUUUUUUGCCUGUUUUAGGGUUUCGAAGAAAAGGAAUAUCAAACGGAGUCCAAACGAAUGAAACGUUCGGGAACGUGAUUUUCUCAACGAACAAGACCUAGGAGACUUGGACCCUACAUCAAGACACAAAAGAGGAUGCCACGAGGUAGGGGGGCAUGCCUACCCCUCAGGCGCGCCCUCCACCCUCGUGGGCCCCCUGUUGCUCCACUAACAUACUCCUUCCUCCUAUAUAUACCUACGUACCCCAAAUGAUCAGAUAUGGAGCCAAAAACCUAAUUCCACCGCUGCAACUUUCUGUAUCCACGAGAUCCCAUCUUGGGGCCUGUUUCGGAGCUCUGCCGGAGGGGGCAUCGAUCAUGGAGGGCUUCUACAUCAACACCAUAGCCCCUCCGAUGAAGUGUGAGUAGUUUACCUCAGACCUACGGGUCCAUAGUUACUAGCUAGAUGGCUUCUUCUCUCUUUUUGGAUCUCAAUACAAUGUUGUCCCCCUCUCUUGUGGAGAACUAUUUGAUGUAAUCUUGUUUUUGCGGUGUGUUUGUUGAGACCGAUGAAUUGUGGGUUUAUGAUCAAGUCUAUCUAUGAAUAAUAUUUGAAUUUUCUCUGAAUUCUUUUAUGUAUGAUUGGUUAUCUUUGCAAGUCUCUUCGAAUUAUCAGUUUGGUUUGGCCUACUAGAUUAAUCUUUCUUGCAAUGGGAGAAGUGCUUAGCUUUUGGUUCAAUCUUGCGGUGUCCUUUCCCAGUGACAGUAGGGGCAGCAAGGCACGUAUUGUAUUGUUGCCAUCGAGGAUAACAAGCUGGGGUUUUCAUCAUAUUGCAUGAGUUUAUCCCUCUACAUCAUGUCAUCUUGCUUAAGGUGUUACUCUGUUUUUAACUUAAUACUCUAGAUGCAUGCUGGAUAGCGGUCGAUGAGUGGAGUAAUAGUAGUAGAUGCAGGCAGGAGUCGGUCCACUUGUCUCGGACGUGAUGCCUAUAAACAUGAUCAUACCUAGAUAUUCUCAUAACUAUGCUCAAUUCUGUUAAUUGCUCAACAGUAAUUUGUUCACCCACCGUAGAAUACUUAUGCCCUCGAGAGAAGCCACUAGUGAAACAUAUGGCCCCCGAGUCUAUCUUUAUCUUAUUAAUCUCCUACUACUUAGUUAUUUCCUUUGCUCUUUACUUUGCCUUUAUUUUACUUUGCAUCUUUAUCACAAAAAUACCAAAAAAUUAUCUUAUCAUAUCUAUCAGAUCUCACUCUCGUAAGUGGCCGUGUAGGGAUUGACAACCCCUAUUCGCGUUGGUUGCGAGGAUUUAUUUGUUUUGUGCAAGUAUGAGGGAAUCGCGUGUAGCCUCCUACUGGAUUGAAACCUUGGUUCUCAAAAACUGAGGGAAAUACUUACGCUACUUUUCUGCAUCAUCCCUUCCUCUUCGGGGAAAACCAACGCAGUGCUCAAGAGGUAGCAAGAAGGAUUUCUGGCGCCGUUGCCAGGGAGGUCUAUGCAAAAGUCAACAUACCAAGUACCCAUCACAUACCCUUAUCUCCCGCAUUACAUUAUUUGCCAUUUGCCUCUCGUUUUCCUCUCCCCCACUUCACCCUUGCCGUUUUAUUCGCCCUCUCUCUCUAUCCUCCAUCUCUUUCUCUAUUUGCCUCUUUUUGCCCGCUUGUUUUUUGUUUGCUUGUGUGUUAGUUCAUUUGCUUGUCGUUAUGGCUAGUCCCUUAUCUUCUCCGUUGUCCCCUAAGUUCGAAAUAUUUCACUUCAAACAAAGACUUGGAGAAAACUUAAAAGAUGCCUGGUUGAGAAUAAUGGAGUCUUAUCAUAAUUGUACCUCUGAAAUAAACAUGAGAAUUUUGCUUCGCAAUUUUUAUGUUGGAUUAAAUAUGUCUCAUAGACAACUCUUGUAUUGUGUUGCCAAGGGCAAUUUUAUUGAAAUUGAUCCCCAUAUUGCUCUUGAAAUUAUAGAAGGUAUAGUGGGAACACUACCUCAACAAAAGGGACCUCAUCCUACUCAGGAAGGGACGCAAGUUUUUGAAAAUAUUUGUGAAGUUACAUGAACCUCUUAAGAACAUUAGUGGAAAUAUUCACCGCAUGAAUAUGUUGAUUACCCUUUGUAAUAAGCGGUUGGAUUCGUUAGAUCUAAAAAUUUCAGAACAUGAUGGGAAACGUAAAGAACCUCCUGGAUUCGAGCUUGAUUCCGCUAAAAAGUUGAAAACUAAAUAUGGCAAUACCUAGAUCUAUCCUUGCUUGUUAUGCCUAGCUAGGGGCGUUAAACGAUAGCGCUUGUUGGGAGGCAACCCAAUUUUAUUUUUAUUCCUUGCUUUUUGCUCCUGUUUAGUAAUAAAUAAUUUUUCUAUCCUCUGUUUUGGUUGUGUUUUUUGUGUUUAAUUAGUGUUUGUGCCAAGUAGAACUGUUGGGAAGACUUGGGGAAAGUCUUGUUACACUUGCUGUAAAAAACAGAAACUUUAGCGCUCACGAGAACUACUGCCAUUUUUAUUUGGAAAGAGAUAUUUAGUUAAUUCUUUUUGAAGAUGAUUAAUAGAUAAAUUCCUCACGUCCAGAAAUUUAUUUUAGAAUUUUUGGGGUUCCAGAUCUUGCGCAAGAUACAGAUUACUAAAGACUGUUCUGUUUUUGACAGAUUCUGUUUUUCGUGUGUUGUUUGCUUAUUUUGAUGAAUCUAUGGCUAGUAAAAUAGUUUAUAAACCAUAGAAAAGUUGGAAUACAGUAGGUAUAACACCAAUAUAAAUAAAGAAUUAGUUCAUUACAGUACCUUGAAGUGGUCUUUUGUUUUCUUACGCUAACGGAGCUCACGAGAUUUUCUACUUUGAGUUUUGUGUUGUGAAGUUUUCAAGUUUUGGGUAAAGAUUUGAUGGAUUAUGGAACAAGGAGUGGCAAGAGCCUAAGCUUGGGGAUUCCCAUGGCACCCCAAGAUAAUCUAAGAACACCUAAAAGUCAAAGCUUGGGGAUGCCCCGGAAGGCAUUUCCUCUUUCGUCUACUUCUAUCGGUAAUUUUACUUGGAGCUAUAUUUUUAUUCGCCACAUGAUAUGUGUUUUGCUUGGAGCGUCUUGUAUGAUUUGAGUCUUUAACUUUUAGUUUACAACAAUCACCCUUGCUGUACACACCUUUUGAGAGAGCCAUACAUGAUUUGGAAUUUGUUAGAAUACUCUAUGUGCUUCACUUAUAUCUUUUGAGUUAUAUAGUUUUGCUCUAGUACUUCACUUAUAUCUUUUAGAGCACGGUGGUGGAUUUUUUUAUAGAAACUAUUGAUCUCUCAUGCUUCACUUAGAAUAUUUUGAGAGUCUUAAAUAGCAUGGUAAUUUGCUUUAAAUCCUAAUAUGCUAGGUAUUCAAGAUUAGUAAAUUUUUCUUAUGAGUGUUUUGAAUACUAAGAGAAGUUUGAUGCUUGAUGAUUGUUUUGAGAUAUGGAAGUAAUAAUAUCAAAGUGGUGCUAGUUGAGUAGUUGUGAAAUUGAGAAAUGCUUGUGUUGAAGUUUGCAAGUCCCGUAGCAUGCACGUAUGGUAAACAUUAUGUAACAAAUUUGAAACAUGAGGUGUUAUUUGAUUGUCCUCCUUAUGAGUGGCGGUCGGGGACGAGCGAUGGUAUUUUCCUACCAAUCUAUCCCCCUAGGAGCAUGCGCGUAGUGCCGAGGUUUUUGAUGACUUGUAGAUUUUUGCAAUAAGUAUGUGAGUUCUUUAUGACUAAUGUUGAGUCCAUGGAUUAUACGCACUCUCACCCUUCCAUCCUUGCUAGCCACUUCGGUACCGUGCAUUGCCCUUUCUCACAUUGAGAGUUGGCGCAAAUUUUGCCGGUGCAUCCAAACCCCGUGAUUUCAUAUGCUCUUUCACACAUAAACCUCCUUAUAUCUUCCUCAAAACAGCCACCAUACCUACCUAUUAUGGAAUUUCCAUAGCCAUUCCGAGAUAUAUUGCCAUGCAACUUUCCACCAUUCCGUUUAUCAUGACACAUUCAUUAUUGUCAUAUUGCCUAGCAUGAUCAUGUAGUUGACAUAGUAUUUGUGGCAAAGCCACCGUUCAUAAUUCUCUCAUUCAUGUUACUCUUGGUCCAUUGCAUAUCCCGGGACACAGCCGGAGGCAUUCAUAUAGAGUCAUCCUUUGUUAUAGUAUCGAGUUGUAAUCAUUUAGUUGUAAAUAAAUAGAAGUGUGAUGAUCAUCAUUUUCUAGAGCAUUGUCCCAAGUGAGGAAUUAAAAAAAGAGAAAGGCCAUAAAAAAAGAGAAAGGCCAUAAAAAAUGUGAGAAAAAGAGAGAAGGGACAAUGUUACUAUCCUUUGCCACACUUGUGCUUCAAAGUAGCACCAUAAUCUUCAUGAUAGAGAGUCUCUUGUUUUGUAACUUUCAUGUACUAGUGGGAAAUUUUCAUUAUAGAACUUGGCUUGUAUAUUCCAACAAUGGGCCUCCUCAAGUGCCCUAGGUCUUCGUGAGCAAGCAAGUUGGAUGCACACCCACUUAGUUCCUUUGGUUGAGCUUUCAUACAUUUAUAGCUCUAGUGCAUCCGUUGCAUUGCAAUCCCUACUCCUUGCAUUAACAUCAAUCGGUGGGCAUCUCCAUAGCCCAUUGAUUAGCCUCAUUGAUGUGAGACUUUCUCCUUUUUUGUCUUCUCCACAUAACCCCCCCCCUCAUUAUAUUCUAUUCCACCCGUAGUGCUAUGUCCAUGGCUCGCGCUCAUAUAUUGCGUGAAAGUUUAUAGGUUUGAGAUUACUAAAGUAUGAAACAAUUGCCUGGCUUGUCAUCGGGGUUGUGCAUGAUGAGAGCAUUCUUGUGUGACAAAAAUGGAGCAUGACUAAACUAUAUGAUUUUGUAGGGAUGAACUUCCUUUAGCCAUGUUAUUUUGAGAAGACAUAAUUCCUUAGUUAGUAUGCUUGAAGUAUUAUUAUUUUUAUGUCAAUAUGAACUUUUGUCUUGAAUCUUUUGGAUCUGAAUAUUCAUACCACAAUUAAGAAGAAUUACAUUAAAAUUAUGCCAAGUAGCACUCCGCAUCAAAAAUUCUGUUUUUAUCAUUUACCUACUCGAGGAUGAGCAGGAAUUAAGCUUGGGGAUGCUUGAUACAUCUCCAACGUAUCUAUAAUUUUUGAUUGCUCCAUGCUAUAUUAUCUACUAUUUUGGACAUUAUUGGGCUUUAUUAUCCACUUUUAUAUUAUUUUUGGGACUAACCUAUUAACCAGAGGCCCAGCCCAGAAUUGAUGUUUUUUUGCCUAUUUUAGGGUUUCGAAGAAAAGGAAUAUCAAACGGAGUCCAAAUGGAAUGAAACCUUCGGGAACGUGAUUUUCUCAACGAACAAGACCCGGGAGACUUGGACCCUACGUCAAUACACAAAAGAGGAGGCCACAAGGUAGGGGAGCGCGCCUACCCCCCCAGGCGCGCCCUCCACCCUCAUGGGCCCCCUGUUGCUCCAUCGACGUACUCCUUCCUCCUAUAUAUACCUACGUACCCCAAAACGAUCAGAUACAGAGCCAAAAACCUAAUUCCACCGCCGCAACUUUCUGUAUCCACGAGAUCCCAUUUUGGGGCCUGUUCCGGAGCUCCGCUGGAGGGGGCAUCGAUCACGGAGGGCCUCUACAUCAACACCAUAGACCCUCCGAUGAAGUGUGAGUAGUUUACCUCAGACCUAUGGGUCCAUAGUUAUUAGCUAGAUGGCUUCUUCUCUCUUUUUGGAUCUCAAUACAAUGUUCUCCCCCUCUCUUGUGGAGAACUAUUCUAUGUAAUCUUCUUUUUGCGGUGUGUUUGUUGAGACCGAUGAAUUGUGGGUUUAUGAUCAAGUCUAUCUAUGAACAAUAUUUGAAUCUUCUCUGAAUUCUUUUAUGUAUGAUUGGUUAUAUUUGCAAGUCUCUUCGAAUUAUCAGUUUGGUUUGGCCUACUAGAUUGAUCUUUCUUGCAAUGGGAGAAGUGCUUAGCUUUGGGUUCAAUCUGGCGGUGUCCUUUCCCAGUGACAGUAGGGGCAGCAAGGCAUGUAUUGUAUUGUUGCCAUCGAGGAUAACAAGAUGGAGUUUUCAUCAUAUUGCAUGAGUUUAUCCCUCUACAUCAUGUCAUCUUGCUUAAGGCGUUACUCUGUUUUUAACUUAAUACUCUAGAUGCAUGCUGGAUAGCGGUUGAUGAGUGGAGUAAUAGUAGUAGAUGCAGGCAGGAGUCGGUCUACUUGUCUCGGGCGUGAUGCCUAUAUACAUGAUCAUACCUAGAUAUUCUCAUAACUAUGCUCAAUUCUGUCAAUUGCUCAAUAGUAAUUUGUUCACCCACCAUAGAAUACUUAUGCUCUCGAGAGAAGCCACUAGUGAACCUAUGGCCCCGGGUCUAUCUUUAUCAUAUUAAUCUCCUACUACUUAGUUAUUUCCUUUGCUCUUUACUUUGCCUUUAUUUUACUUUGCAUCUUUAUCACAAAAAUACCAAAAAUAUUAUCUUAUCAUAUCUAUCAGAUCUCACUCUCGUAAGUGGCCGUGUAGGGAUUGACAACCCCUAUUCGCAUUGGUUGCGAGGAUUUAUUUGUUUUGUGUAGGUACGAGGGACUCGCGUGUAGCCUCCUACUGGAUUGAUACCUUGGUUCUCAAAAACUGAGGGAAAUACUUACGCUACUUUGCUGCAUCAUCCCUUCCUCUUCAGGGAAAACCAACGCAGUGCUCAAGAGGUAGCACUCCGACUUCUUAACAUAAUGGUUCACCAUACGUGCAUGCUACGGGAAUCACAAGCUUCAACACAAGCAUUUAUCAAAUUCACAACUACUCAACUAGCACGACUCUAAUAUCACCAUCUCCAUAUCUCAAAACAAUUAUCAAGUUUCAAACUUCUCAUAGUAUUCAACUAACUCAUAAGAAAAUUUUAUUAUUAAUCUUGAAUGCCUAACAUAAUUAACGCAAAUUACCAUGCUAUUUUGUAGGACGCUCAAAAUAAUCUAAGUUAAGCAUGAUAGAACAAUGGUUUCUAUAAAACAAAUCUACCAACGUGCUCUAAAAGAUAUAAGUGAAGCACUAGAGCAAAAACUAUAUAAGUCAAAAGAUAUAAGUGAAGCACAUAGAGUAUUCUAACAAUUUCCGAAUCAUGAGUGUAUCUCUCAAAAAGGUUUGUGCAGAAAUGAUGAUUGUGGAAAACUAACAAAUAAAGACUCAAAUAAUACAAGACGCUCCAAGCAAAACACAUAUCAUGUGGUAAAUAAAAAUAUAGCUCCAAGUAAAGUUGCCAAUAGAAGUAGACGAAAGAGGGGAUGCCUUCCGGGGCAUCCCCAAGCUUUGGCUUUUAGGUGUCCUUAGAUUAUCUUGGGGUUCCAUGGGUAUCCCCAAGCUUAUGCUCUUGCCACUCCUUGUUCCAUAAUCCAUCAAAUCUUUUACCCAAAACUUGAAAACUUCACAACACAAAACUUAAAGUAGAAAAUCUCAUGAGCUCCGUUAGCGAAAGAAAACAAAACACCACUUCAAGGUACUGUAAUGAAAUCAUUCUUUAUUUGUAUUGGUGUUAAAACUACUGUAUUCCAACUUCUCUAUGGUUUAUAAACUAUUUUGCUAGCCAUAGAUUCAUUAAAAUAAGCAAACAACACACGAAAAACAGAAUCUGUCAAAAACAGAACUGUCUGUAGUAAUCUGUAGCUAACGCAAGAUCUGGAACCCCAAAAAUUCUAAAAUAAAUUUCUGGACGUGAGGAAUUUAUCUAUUAAUCAUCUGCAAAAAUAAUUAACUAAAUAUCACUGUCCAAAUAAAAAUGGCAGAAAUUCUCGUGAGCGCUAAAGUUUCUGUUUUUUACAGCAAGAUUAAAAAGACUUUCCCCAAGUCUUCCCAAUGGUUCUACUUGGCAAAAACACUAAUUAAACACAAAAACACAACCAAAACGGAGGCUAGAUAAGUUAUUUAUUGCUAAACAGGAGCAAAAAUCAAGGAAUAAAAAUAAAAUUGGGUUGCCUCCUAACAAGCGUUAUCGUUUAACGCCCCUAGCUAGGCAUGAAAGCAAGGUUAGAUCUAGGUAUUGCCAUAAUAAUAAGAUAAAUCAUUAAAACUCAUUUAAUAUUAUCUAUGUUAGGCAGCAAGUUUUCUUUGAGGCAAGCAAAAGUAAUCAAAAGGGCUAAAUUUAAUGGGACAAAAGUCCCCAAGAUCAACUUUGGAGGUAUAGGUUCCUCCUUUGGCCCUUCGUAUUGCACAACCAAUUCUUCAUUAUAAGCAUUCUUUUGACAGAACUUUGUGAGCCUAUACUCAAGAGAAUAUCCUAGUUCAUUAUUUUGAAUAGACAAAUCAUUAUUAAGUUCAGAAAUUCUAUCGACUAGAACAUUGGUAGGAACCCUUUUUCUAAUAUUUUCAUUAAAAGCAACAUAGUCUAGCGAUUGAAAACGCAUUAUUUCUUCUUGAUCAAAAACGAUAGCCUCUAUGGGAGGACGGCAAGCGUCCACCCUAUAAUGCACAAAGAUUUCUUUGGCCUCUUUUAUUAUGAAUCUAAACUCAUGAGACAAAAAGAUAGUAGCGGCACGCUUAACAGAAGAAUACUCAAUAUUAGAAAAUUCUAAGAAAAUACUUUGUAUCCAAGGAUGCAUGUGCAUAAAUUGUAUUUCAAGUUCAAGUAUAAGCAUGGCGAUAGCGUCCGCAAGACUACUAGUUCUAUGAAUGAUAGAGCUACCCAUAGAAGGCAAAGCACCGGCACAAGUAAAGAAAUCUUGGAUAACUCCUUUUCCAAUAAUAUUACCACUACCAAUUCGGAAAAAAAAAUUGUAUGUAAGAUAGGGGGUUCUUCAGCAGGAGCCUCAGAAUUUUUCAUGAUAUUAUUAUUGUCCAUAUCAACAAUAAUUUCCCCGAUUUCAAACAUAACGGCAGAAAGUGCAAGGGGCAAAAAGAGGCAAAUAGAGAAAGAGAGGGAGGACGGAGAGAGAGGGCGAAUAAAACGGCAAGGGUGAAGUGAGGGGAGAGAAAAACGAGAGGCAAAUGGCAAAUAAUGUAAUUCGGGACAUAAGGGUUUGUGAUGGGUACUUGGUAUGUUGACUUUUGCGUAGACUCCCCGGCAACGGCGCCAGAAAUCCUUCUUGCUACCUCUUGAGCACUGCGUUGGUUUUCCCUUGAAGAGGAAAGGGUGAUGCAGCAGAGCAGCGUAAGUAUUUCCCUCAGUUUUUGAGAACCAAGGUAUCAAUCCAGUAGGAGGCCACGCACGAGUCCCUCGCACCUACACAAACAAAUAAACUCCUCGCAACCAACGCGAUAAAGGGGUUGUCAAUCCCUUCACUGUCACCUGCGAGAGUGAGAUCUGAUAGAUAUGAUAAGAUAAUAUUUUUCGUAUUUUUAUGAUAAAGAUAAAUAAAGAUGCAAGUAAAAUAAAUCGUAAAGGAAAUAACUAAGUAUUGGAAGAUUAAUAUGAUGAAAAAUAGACCCGGGGGCCAUAGGUUUCACUAGAGGCUUCUCUCGAGAGCAUAAGUAUUACGGUGGGUGAACAAAUUACUGUUGAGAAAUUGACAGAAUUGAGCAUAGUUAUGAGAAUAUCUAGGUAUGAUCAUGUAUAUAGGCAUCACGUCCGAGACAAGUAGACCGACUCCUGCCUGCAUCUACUACUAUUACUCCACACAUCGAGCACUAUCCAGCAUGCAUCUAGAGUAUUAAGUUCAAGAGAACAGAGUAAUGCUUUAAGCAAGAUGACAUGAUGUAGCGGGAUAAACUCAUGCAAUAUGAUAUAAACCCCAUCUUGUUAUCCUCGAUGGCAACAAUACAAUACGUGCCUUGCUGCCCUUACUGUCACUGGGAAAGGGCACCGCAAGAUUGAACCCAAAGCUAAGCACUUCUCCCAUUGCAUGAAAUAUCAAUCUAGUAGGCCAAACCAAACUGAUAAUUCGAAGAGACUUGCAAAGAUAACCAAUCAUACAUAAAAGAAUUCAGAGAAGAUUCAAAUAUUGUUCAUAGAUAAACUUGAUCAUAAACCCAUAAUUCAUCGGUCUCAACAAACACACCGCAAAAGAAGAUUACAUCGAAUAGAUCUCCAUAAGAGAGGGGGAGAACUUUGUAUUGAGAUCCAAAAAGAGAGAAGAAACCAUCUAGCUAAUAACUAUGGGCCCGUAGGUCUGAACUAAACUACUCACACUUCAUCGGAGGGGCUAUGGUGUUGAUGUAGAAGCCCUCCGUGAUCGAUACCCCCUCUGGCGGAGCUCCGAAAAAGGCCCCAAGAUGGGAUCUCAUGGAUACAGAAAGUUACGGCGGUGGAAUUAGGGUUUUGGCUCCGUAUCUGGUAGUUUGGGGGUACGUAGGUAUAUAUAGGAGGAAGGAGUACGUCGAUGGAGCAACGUGGGCCCCACGAGGGUGGAGGGCGUGCCUGGGGGUAGGCACGCCCCCUACCUCGUGCCUUCCUGGUUGAUUGCUUGACGUAGGGUCCAAGUCCUCUGGAUCAUGUUCAUUCCAAAAAUCACGUUCCCAAAGGUUUCAUUCCGUUUGGACUCCGUUUGAUAUUCUUUUUCUGCGAAACCCUAAAAUAGGCAAAAAACAGCAAUUCUGGGCUGGGCCUCCGGUUAAUAGGUUAGUCCCAAAAAUAAUAUAAAAGUGUAUAAUAAAGCCCAAUAAUGUCCAAAACAGGAUAUAAUAUAGCAUGGAACAAUAAAAAAUUAUAGAUACGUUGGAGACGUAUCAGUUAGCGAGGAAUGCAUACAUUGGAUUUCAACAUAAAGUGGUUUCAAAUAUUUGAAAAUCCAAAUUGAUGGAUACAACCUUAUGAAUCUGAGAUCAUGCCAUUUGUAAACCAUAUUUAUGUAUAAAGGGUGUUGUGCUUUUGAAAGUAUAUAUUAAAAAUGAUGUAUAUAGAAUUUUAUUCCAAUCAAAAAUGGAUCCCGCCCGGAAAAAAACAGAAUACAAACAGGAUUCGAAUUGAGUUGGCACGGUAAACAUGCACUCUGCAAAAUUUGAACGAAGCGGUGAAAGUCGCAGUAACCGCCCGAAACCAAAAUCUGCGAGAUGGAAAUUACUACUGCCUAUCCCUGCCACGCAAAGCCUAAUUGCUCGAUUUCUAUAGGUUUCGAUAGGGGUAGGUUUGUAAUUUCACUCAAACAUGACAUAACCGCCUCUCACCCGGAUUCAUACACGGUGGGCGCCAAAACACAAUGUGUCCUCGGACGAAAUCGACUCCCUCCCUGAUUCAAACACGGUGGGCGCCCAAAACAAACUCUCGUCGGCAAAUAUUCGGUGUAUGCGAGAUUACCGUCCUAUCCCCAACCGACUAAUAUUGCUGAGAUGUAGGAAAUUUGAAACGGGGGCUAAGUUUGUAAAUUUCCUUGCAUUUGAGACAAGCGCGCCCUGAAGACAUGGUUCCCCCUUCCUCUCUACCUCCAUUUCCCCAUUCAUACUCCGUGGGUGCCAAAACACCCUCUCCACCCCAGCCUCCUCCGUCCGCCACCCCAUCCACCGCCGUCCUCCUCCACCAUGCCGGAGCUGAUACCCCGGCGCCGCCGUCCAUUACAAGAGAUCGACCUCUCUCAUCCACAGCUUCAGACCGGGAUCCUUGCAUUCUGUCCACUCGCUUCAUCCCCGCCGUCAUCCACCUUGCCGGCGCCNNNNNNNNNNNNNNNNNNNNNNNNNNNNNNNNNNNNNNNNNNNNNNNNNNNNNNNNNNNNNNNNNNNNNNNNNNNNNNNNNNNNNNNNNNNNNNNNNNNNNNNNNNNNNNNNNNNNNNNNNNNNNNNNNNNNNNNNNNNNNNNNNNNNNNNNNNNNNNNNNNNNNNNNNNNNNNNNNNNNNNNNNNNNNNNNNNNNNNNNNNNNNNNNNNNNNNNNNNNNNNNNNNNNNNNNNNNNNNNNNNNNNNNNNNNNNNNNNNNNNNNNNNNNNNNNNNNNNNNNNNNNNNNNNNNNNNNNNNNNNNNNNNNNNNNNNNNNNNNNNNNNNNNNNNNNNNNNNNNNNNNGCCGCCGACAGCCAUCGCUACCGCAGCACUAUCAAAUUCUCAGCAGAUGCAUACACUGUGCCGCACCAGAGGCGGUACUCUUUCGUAUCUUCUCGACUUAUUUAUCGCAGCAAGAAAAUAGAUCGCCACUGCUUUACUCUGAUUUCUUGUCCAUCACUUACUUGCUAGUUGAAAGCAAACAUUGGUUGCAAAGUUUCCUUUGUCUGGUUUGCACCUUCAGAUCCGCCAUGGCACGCUCAACACUAUACUCCCAAUGCUUAUGGUUUUCUGAUACGUCCAUUUUGCAUCAUGCUUUUAUAUUGAUAUUUAUUGCAUUAUGGGCUGUUACUACACAUUAUGUCACAAUACUUGUGCCUAUUCUCUCUUAUUUUACAAGGUUUACAUAAAGAGGGAGAAUGCCGGCAGCUGGGAUUCCAGGCUGGAAAAGGAGCAAAUAUUAGAGACCUAUUCUGCACAGCUCCAAAAGUCCUGAAACUUCAUGGAAGUUAUUUCCAGAAUAUAUAAAAAAUACCGAGCGCAAGAAGUACUAGAGGGGGGCCACUCACCAGCCACGAGGGUGGGGGCGCGCACUACCCCCCUGGGCGCGCCCCUACCUCGUGGGCCCCCUGGUGGCCCUCCGAUGCCCAUCUUCUGCUAUAUGGAGUCUUUCAUUGAGGAAAAAAUCAUAAGCAAGCUUUCGGGACGAGACUCCGCCGCCACGAGGCGGAACCUUGGCGGAACCAAUCUAGGGCUCCAGCGGAGCUGUUCUGCCGGGGAAACUUCCCUCCGGGAGGGGGAAAUCAUCGCCAUCGUCAUCACCAAAGCUCCUCUCAUCAGGAGGGGCCCAAUCUCCAUCAAAAUUUUCACCAGCACCAUCUCCUCUCAAACCCUAGUUCAUCUCUUGUAUCCAAUUCUUGUCUCUAAGUCUGGGAUUGGUACCUGUAGGUUGCUAGUAGUGUUGAUUACUCCUCGUAGUUGAUGCUAGUUGGUUUAUUUGGUGGAAGAUCAUAUGUUCAGAUCCUAUAUGCAUAUUAAUACCCCUCUGAUUAUGAGCAUGAAUAUGUUUUGUGAGUAGUUACGUUCGUUCCUGAGGACAUGGGAGAAGUCUUGCUAUUAGUAGUCAUGUGAAUUUAGUAUUCAUUCGAUAUUUUGAUGAGAUGUAUGUUGUAUCACCUCUAGUGGUGUUAUGUGAAUGUCGACUACAUGACACUUCACCAUUAUUUGGGCCUAGAGGAAGGCAUUGGGAAGUAAUAAGUAGAUGAUGGGUUGCUAGAGUGACAUAAGCUUAAACCCUAGUUUAUGUGUUGCUUUGUAAGGGGCUGAUUUGGAUCCAUAUGUUUCAUGCUAUGGUUAGGUUUACCUUAAUACUUCUGUCAUAGUUGCGGAUGCUUGCAAUGGGGGUUAACCAUAAGUGGGAUGCUUGUCCAAGUAAGGACAGCACCCAAGCACCAGUCCACCCACAUAUCAAAUUAUCAAAGUACCGAACGCGAAUCAUAUGAACGUGAUGAAAACUAGCUUGACGAUAAUUCCCAUGUGUCCUCGGGAGCACUUCCCUUCAUAUAAGAGUUUGUCCAGGCUUGUCCUUUGCUACAAAAAGGAUUGGUCCACCUUGCUGCACUUUAUUUACUUUUGUUACUUGUUGCUCGUUACAAAUUAUCUUAUCGCAAAACUAUCUAUUACCUAUAAUUUCAAUGCUUGCAGAGAAUACCUUGCUGAAAACCUCUUAUCAUUUUCCUUCUGCUCCUCGUUGGGUUCGACACUCUUACUUAUCGAAAGGACUAAGAUAGAUCCCCUAUACCUGUGGGUCAUCAAGACUCUUUUCUGGCGCCGUUUGAUGAAGACAUGUACCUAGGGUAGGGACACGGACCUAACCAAAGAGUCCUACCCUAGGACACCCCUAGGAGAAGUCACCUUUCAAUCGACUUGAAGGUAUCCCACUCGACGGGUUCAAGACACUCGACCAAGAAGCUAUCACUCGACCAUGAAGCCAACCACUCGACUGCCAGGAGACCUAAAGUCACUCCGCAGGCAAACGGUCGGCUGUUAAGUAGUCUUUAUGAUCAUUAUAGCACUUUAUUAGGGACGUUACCAGAAACGCCCAACCUUAAAUGUACCUUAAACCCUGCAUUACUGAGGGCGGGAGGGGUCCGGUGAACUCUAUAUAAGCCACCCCCCUCCUGAAUAUGAAGGGUUCGCACCCCCUGUAUCCAUACACGCAUAAUCCAGUCGACCGCCUCCGGGCUCCGAGACGUAGGGCUAUUACUUCCUCUAAGAAGGGCAUGAACUCGUAAACUUCGCGUGUAACAACUUCCCAAUAGCUAAGAUCUAGCCUUUCCAUAUUCACCCCCCUAGAUCACUGUCAGAGUUAGAACCACGACAGUUGGCGCCCACCGUGGGGCCGGAAUCUUAGCGCUUAGUUGGAGAAGUUCCGAUCUUUUCCGAUCCCUUUGAUCAUGUUUUCUUGCGGAGUUUGGGUGGAGGACCACGAGAUCCGUCUCGGCGCGCUCACCUUCAUCGUCGAUGACUCCGCCUGGCUUCAGGAGGCACCACUCGACAUCGACGCGCUCCCCGUCCGCGGUGCGACGCACAUCCGCGCAUGCAUUCGUGGCGUCCUCCUGCGGCAGCCAUCGACUCAGUAUCGGUCAGCCCCUGCGUCGUCUGCCCGCCCUGUCUCCCGCCAGCGCAAGCGCUCCGGUCGGUCAAGACUCCAGCGGUGGGUGAGGCAUGCCGUGGCCCGCCAGUUGGCAGCCCCACAAGUCGUGGCAAUCGAGCCCGAUGAAUCCCUCUACGGCCUGUUCGACCUAUCGACUGGCUCCAUGGAGACUGCAUCUGAGUGCGACAGCAGUGACCCAGCGGCUGAGAUUCUGGCGGUUGACGGAAAGCACAGUCCUCCCAGUUUCCCUCGCGCUGAUGGAGGCGCGGGUGGGGGCGAUCCGUCGCAUCCCCACGAUGAGUAUCUCCCUGAACCUCUCAAAAACCGUCUUUCUAUACCCUUGGGCAAUGAGUUUCGACGUAUUGGGUGUAUCCGUUUUUAUCGAAGCUUUGAUUUUCGUGCUUAUCUUAGUUGUUGGUUUAGUUUAUGCAUGGCGAAAAGGAGCCUUGGAAUGGUCUUAACUGAAUAUUUAGACAAAAAAAAAAGAAGGAAAAGAUUCUAUUGAGACAGUUAUGAAUUUGAUUGAGUUUCCCUUACUUGACCAAACAAGUUCCAAUUCUGUUAUUUCAACUACACCAAAUGAUCUUUCGAAUUGGUCAAGACUCUCUAGUUUAUGGCCCCUUCUAUACGGUACCAGUUGUUGUUUCAUUGAAUUUGCUUCAUUAAUAGGCUCACGAUUCGACUUUGAUCGUUAUGGAUUGGUACCAAGAUG